rnacentral:lncRNA from 1 species
UGUUCUCCAUGCUUUUCCUUGUUGCGUUCUCCCUAUAUCCCCCAUAGUGCUUUUACAUCUUUCAAGCUGUUGCAUGCCUGUUUAAUCCACGCCUCAGCAUCAGCUAGAUUGUUCCAGCCAUUUUGAUAAAGAUAUAGGUGCCACCAUACCCCUGAAGCCUGCGGGCAGCGAAGCUUGGUAUGCAGCACCAAUUCCUCCAUUUCUCCACCCCUUGGGCACGUUGUGGCUACAGUUAAACUCCUUCGGUUAAGGUUCAGCAUGGUUGCUAUUGCCUCACGGCUCACACGCCAUACUAGCAUCUUGAAUUUAAGGUGGACGCUUGCCUCCCUAAUUUUCUCCAUGUCGUCUCUUGAUUACAGUGCACUUGCCCAUUACGAACACCUACCUGAUGCCCUUCUUUCAUCAGAAUUUUGUAACCACCUUUCACUGUGUAUUCCCCCAUUGUCUGAUUGGCUGAUCAUAUUAAAAUUUUGAUUGGGUACUACAAGAUAAGGUCUAAAUUUGCUACUCAUCUAGCAUAAAAAAAAAUCACUACUCAUCUUUAAAUGAUUGAUCAAAUUUCUAAUAUUUUUAAUGACU